rnacentral:rRNA from 1 species
UGGGGAAUAUUGCGCAAUGGGCGAAAGCCUGACGCAGCCACGCCGCGUGAGCGAUGAAGGCCUUCGGGUCGUAAAGCUCUGUGGGGAGAGACGAAGAAAGCCUGUGAAGAGCAGGCCUUGACGGUAUCUCCUUAGCAAGCACCGGCUAACUCCGUGCCAGCAGCCGCGGUAAUACGGAGGGUGCAAACGUUGCUCGGAAUCAUUGGGCGUAAAGCGCACGUAGGCGGCGAAGCAAGUUGGGUGUGAAAGCCCUGGGCUCAACCCAGGAAGUGCAUUCAAAACUGCUUCGCUUGAAUCUCGGAGGGGGUCAGAGAAUUCCCGGUGUAGAGGUGAAAUUCGUAGAUAUCGGGAGGAAUACCAGUGGCGAAGGCGCUGACCUGGACGAGAUUGACGCUGAGGUGCGAAAGCGCGGGGAGCAAACAGGAUUAGAUACCCUGGUAGUCCGCGCUGUAAACGGUGAGGUGCGUAGACGGUGGAGGUA